CAAAUUAAAGCUUAUAAAGUUUUUUAUUUACAUUAAAAAGAGAAUUGUUUAAUCAAUUUAGUUU
rnacentral:tRNA from 1 species